rnacentral:tRNA from 1 species
GCCUGGGUGGCUCAGUCGGUUGAGUGUCUGACUUUGGCUCAGGUCAUCAUAUCACCACUCGUGGGUUUGAGCCCCCACAUCAGGCU